UUCUGGUCUUCUCCUAUCUCUGGAUCUAUGGUUUUGACUGUCCACUCUCUCUCUAUUUCUCGUCUUCUUCACUGUCAUGGUUUAGCAGAACUCCUCUGGUUUUGAGAGUUUUAGGGUUCCUCAAUUUUUCCCUCUCUUGAUAUUCAAAGAUCUUUUUUUUCUUCAAUCAUUCCAGUGAUCUCUGAGAUCACUUCGAUUUGAAUCAAUCAUGGCAAAAUUAAAGGUCAGAACUUUGAAGAGAAGAUGCAACAAAACCAAGUGAAGAAGGACACGAAAGAGAUGGACUUUUUCCUAUAGUACGGCAACGCAAACCGAUACAGGAUCCUCAGAAUCAUCGGCAAAAGAAACUAUGAAAUCGUGUGUGCAGCUGUUGACAUGCACACGGGAGAGAAAGUCGCGAUCAAGAAGAUAAACAACGUCUUCGAACACAUCUCCGACGCGCUUCGUAUGCUCCGCGAGGUGCUAAUGUGCACACUUGAGAAGUUUGGGACAAAAUCAUGAGGUUAUGGUUACAAUUUACAAAGUAUGGG